rnacentral:piRNA from 1 species
UAAGAACCUGCGUGUUCUCUUACCUGAUA